rnacentral:rRNA from 2 species
CGAGAAAACUUUGCAAUGUGCGAAAGCACGACAAGGUUAAUCCGAGUGGUUUGUGCUAAACGAACCUUUUGACAGUCCUAGAAACACUGUUGAAUAAGGGGUGGGCAAGUUCUGGUGUCAGCCGCCGCGGUAAAACCAGCACCUCAAGUGGUCAGGAUGAUUAUUGGGCCUAAAGCAUCCGUAGCCUGAUCUAUAAGUUUUCGGUUAAAUCUAUGCGCUUAACGUAUAGGCUGCCGGAAAUAUUGCAGAUCUAGGGAGUGGGAGAGGUAGACGGUACUCGGUAGGAAGGGGUAAAAUCCUUUGAUCUAUUGAUGACCACCUGUGGCGAAGGGCGGUCUACCAGAACACGUCCGACGGUGAGGGAUGAAAGCUGGGGGAGCAAACCGGAUUAGAUACCCGGGUAGUCCCAGCUGUAAACCAUGCAAACUCAGUGAUGCAUUGGCUUGUGGCC